AAACGUUUGACACCAGUCAUGUGGGUGGAAAAUCAGUCUUUUGCAUUGGGGAGUUGUAAAGGUUCGGACCGCAAGGCCGGCUUUUGCUUCAUCUUUGGUGUAAGGGAUGCACUUUUUCAUCUACAGGUCAACAUCAGUUUCUUUUGCUGGACAAAACUCCGAGAGAAGGUAGCAGCUUAGGCUGUGUUAUAGCUCUGGAGCGAUACAGUGAAGGGGACUGAGGUUUUCGCAGCGUGUGCUCUCGGGCAAGGCUGGAUGGGUGCUAUGGGAUCGUUCGGGGUACAAUGCCUGGCAUUUUGCUUCGUGUCUUUUCUAUACUCGCUCAACUCAGCUCUUCCACGCUUAGGAUGUUGACUUAAUGGUUUUAAACGA
rnacentral:rRNA from 2 species